rnacentral:rRNA from 1 species
AGCGAACGCUGGCGGCAGGCCUAACACAUGCAAGUCGAGCGCCCAGCAAUGGGAGCGGCAGACGGGAGAGUAACACGUGGGAACGUGCCUUUUGGUUCGGAAUAACUCAGGGAAACUUGAGCUAAUACCGGAUAAGCCCUUACGGGGAAAGAUUUAUUGCCAAAAGAGCGGCCCGCGUCCGAUUAGCUAGUUGGUGAGGUAAUGGCUCACCAAGGCGACGAUCGGCAGCUGGUCNGAGAGGAUGACCAGCCUCAUUGGGACUGAGACACGGCCCAAACUCCUACGGGAGGCAGCAGUGGGGAAUAUUGGACAAUGGGCGCAAGCCUGAUCCAGCCAUGCCGCGUGAGUGAUGAAGGCCUUAGGGUU